AUGAUGACGGGUGGAUCUCGUCAAUCCGCACCUCCUCACCCACCACAUCGCCGGAUCCGCGACAUGGGAAGGUCACAGGGAAGCAAAAGCUCAGUGUCAAGACUGGGGAGGACUCCAAUCCUCGUGACUAGAUGGUGGCAAUGGCAUCUUGCAUACCAUAUUCUCGUGGGUGGGUGCAACGAGGGGCUGGGCAAGCGCGGUGCAUAG
rnacentral:rRNA from 1 species